AAUGCGGCUGCCUUAACAUGCAAGUCGAACGGCAGCAUGAUCUAGCUUGCUAGAUUGAUGGCGAGUGGCGAACGGGUGAGUAAUACAUCGGAACGUGCCCUGUAGUGGGGGAUAACUAGUCGAAAGAUUAGCUAAUACCGCAUACGACCUGAGGGUGAAAGUGGGGGACCGCAAGGCCUCAUGCUAUAGGAGCGGCCGAUGUCUGAUUAGCUAGUUGGUGAGGUAAAGGCUUGCCAAGGCGACGAUCAGUAGCUGGUCUGAGAGGACGAUCAGCCACACUGGGACUGAGACACGGCCCAGACUCCUACGGGAGGCAGCAGUGGGGAAUUUUGGACAAUGGGGGCAACCCUGAUCCAGCAAUGCCGCGUGUGUGAAGAAGGCCUUCGGGUUGUAAAGCACUUUUGUCCGGAAAGAAAUCGCACUUACUAAUAUUAGGUGUGGAUGACGGUACCGGAAGAAUAAGGACCGGCUAACUACGUGCCAGCAGCCGCGGUAAUACGUAGGGUCCAAGCGUUAAUCGGAAUUACUGGGCGUAAAGCGUGCGCAGGCGGUUGUGCAAGACCGAUGUGAAAUCCCCGGGCUUAACCUGGGAAUUGCAUUGGUGACUGCACGGCUAGAGUGUGUCAGAGGGGGGUAGAAUUCCACGUGUAGCAGUGAAAUGCGUAGAGAUGUGGAGGAAU
rnacentral:rRNA from 1 species